rnacentral:rRNA from 1 species
UGGCGGACGGGUGAGUAACACGUGAGAAUCUGCCCUUAGGACGGGGACAACAUCGGGAAACUGGUGCUAAUACCGGAUGAGCCGCGAGGUGAAACAUUUUAUGGCCUAGGGAUGAGCUCGCGACUGAUUAGCUAGUUGGUGGGGUAAGGGCCUACCAAGGCAGUGAUCAGUAGCUGGUCUGAGAGGAUGAUCAGCCACACUGGGACUGAGACACGGCCCAGACUCCUACGGGAGGCAGCAGUGGGGAAUUUUCCGCAAUGGGGGCAACCCUGACGGAGCAACGCCGCGUGAGGGAAGAAUGUUUGUGGACUGUAAACCUCUUUUAAUAGGGAAGAAUAACUGACGGUACCUAUNGAAUAAGCAUCGGCUAACUCCGUGCCAGCAGCCGCGGUAAU